rnacentral:rRNA from 1 species
GACGAACGCUGGCGGCGUGCUUAACACAUGCAAGUCGAGCGGUAAGGCCCUUUCGGGGGUACACGAGCGGCGAACGGGUGAGUAACACGUGGGUGACCUGCCCUCAGCUCUGGGAUAAGCCUGGGAAACUGGGUCUAAUACUGGAUAUGACUCCACGGUGCAUGUCGUGGGGUGGAAAGCCUUGUGCGGCCGAGGAUGGGCCCGCGGCCUAUCAGCUUGUUGGUGGGGUGAUGGCCUACCAAGGCGACGACGGGUAGCCGGCCUGAGAGGGCGACCGGCCACACUGGGACUGAGACACGGCCCAGACUCCUACGGGAGGCAGCAGUGGGGAAUCUUGCGCAAUGGGCGAAAGCCUGACGCAGCGACGCCGCGUGA